rnacentral:ncRNA from 1 species
UAGAGUAAAUAUCAAGCGUUAAGUGUCCUGGGAUGGGAUGUUGCCCGGGAACGAAAACUUUCAAAGUUGCGGUUUGGUAUUGCAUCCGCUA